rnacentral:rRNA from 1 species
CGAGAAACUCAAAUUAAUAAAAUCGGCUCAAAGGGUGGUUAAACACACAAAUUAAAUAAGGCUAAAAACUAACUCUGCUGUCGCACGCAAUAGUUAAAAUAAGUACAACUUCGAAAGUAGCCCUACUAAAAUAAGCUUGAACCCACGACAACUAGGGAACAAACUGGGAUUAGAUACCCCACUAUGCCUAGUUAUAAACUUUGAUCUAUCCGCCAGAAUACUACGAGCAACAGCUUAAAACUCAAAGGACUUGGCGGUGCUCUACACCCCCCUAGAGGAGCCUGUUCUAUAAUCGAUAAUCCACGAUAAACCUCACCAUCUAUUGCCAAUACAGCCUAUAUACCACCGUCCAGCCCACCCUUCAAAGGGCCAACAGUAGGCAUAAUUAUAAACAUAAGAACGUCAGGUCAAGGUGUAGCAUAUAAAAUGGGAAGAAAUGGGCUACAUUUUCUAAUUUAGAAAAUUACGGAAAAGCUUGUGAAACAAAACUAUAAAGGAGGAUUUAGCAGUAAAAAGAAAAAAGAGCGUUCUUUUUAAACCGGCAAUGGAGCGCGCACACACCGCCCGUCACCCUCUUCAAACAACCAAAACAAUAAAUAAACAAAACCCCCUAAAAAGAAGAGGCAAGUCGUAACAUGGUAAGUCUACCGGAAGGUGAACUUGGAACAUC